AUUAAAAAAAAAAAUCUGAAAAGCGGUUGACACACACAACACACAAUGUAACAACUUUAUUGUUUACACCACCGAAAAAUUCCUAAAUGUCUCUGAGGAAUUUUUCUUAGAAAAAAAAAAAUAUUCGUUUAAAUAGUAAUUUUUGUCGAUAAAAUACUAAGCUGUAUAAUCAUACUUUUAUACAUUCUGCGGACAUUUGAAUGCAAGCAUAAAUAAAUCAGAAAUUAAAGUGUAAAGUAAAAUAUUAUUCACACCGUAACAUAAAAAAAAACGUAUGAAAAAAAUAUUCAUUUAUAUUUCAUGCGUCGAUAACAAUAUAUUUUUUUAUGCAACCACUGAUACAAGAGGAUUCUUUCCAUUUACUCCAACCUUCAUUGCCUUUAACUCCAGAAGAUUGUGGUUUUAAAAAGUGCAAGGCUGGUAAGCAUUCACCGCCACGACAUUCUUUACCCUCUUCACAAAUGGUUCCUUCCAAAGCUGGACCAGCAUAAUAAUAACCACUACGAUGUGGACUACGACAUGAUAAUGUAUGACAAGCGUUAUCCAUGUACGUCCGGGUAAUGUCAGAUAUCUUGAAUGGUCCAAAGUCUUGUCAAAAUUUUCUAAAUUUUUAUCAAGUAGACAUGGUUUUGUUCGUGGUAAAUCAAUAGCUACUUCUC